rnacentral:rRNA from 1 species
GAAUGCUGACAUAAGUAACGAUAAAGCGGGUGAAAAGCCCGCUCGCCGGAAGACCAAGGGUUCCUGUCCAACGUUAAUCGGGGCAGGGUGAGUCGACCCCUAAGGCGAGGCCGAAAGGCGUAGUCGAUGGGAAACGGGUUAAUAUUCCCGUACUUGGUGUUACUGCGAAGGGGGGACGGAGAAGGCUAUGUUGGCCGGGCGACGGUUGUCCCGGUUUAAGCGUGUAGGUGUGUGUUCCAGGUAAAUCCGGUUCACUUUAACACUGAGGCGUGAUGACGAGGCACUACGGUGCUGAAGCAACAAAUGCCCUGCUUCCAGGAAAAGCCUCUAAGCAUCAGGUAACAUCAAAUCGUACCCCAAACCGACACAGGUGGUCAGGUAGAGAAUACCAAGGCGCUUGAGAGAACUCGGGUGAAGGAACUAGGCAAAAUGGUGCCGUAACUUCGGGAGAAGGCACGCUGACACGUAGGUGAAGUGAUUUACUCAUGGAGCUGAAGUCAGUCGAAGAUACCAGCUGGCUGCAACUGUUUAUUAAAAACACAGCACUGUGCAAACACGAAAGUGGACGUAUACGGUGUGACGCCUGCCCGGUGCCGGAAGGUUAAUUGAUGGGGUCAGCGCAAGCGAAGCUCCUGAUCGAAGCCCCGGUAAACGGCGGCCGUAACUAUAACGGUCCUAAGGUAGCGAAAUUCCUUGUCGGGUAAGUUCCGACCUGCACGAAUGGCGUAAUGAUGGCCAGGCUGUCUCCACCCGAGACUCAGUGAAAUUGAACUCGCUGUGAAGAUGCAGUGUACCCGCGGCAAGACGGAAAGACCCCGUGAACCUUUACUAUAGCUUGACACUGAACAUUGAGCCUUGAUGUGUAGGAUAGGUGGGAGGCUUUGAAGUGUGGACGCCAGUCUGCAUGGAGCCGACCUUGAAAUACCACCCUUUAAUGUUUGAUGUUCUAACGUGGACCCGUGAUCCGGGUUGCGGACAGUGUCUGGUGGGUAGUUUGACUGGGGCGGUCUCCUCCUAAAGAGUAACGGAGGAGCACGAAGGUUGGCUAAUCCUGGUCGGACAUCAGGAGGUUAGUGCAAUGGCAUAAGCCAGCUUGACUGCGAGCGUGACGGCGCGAGCAGGUGCGAAAGCAGGUCAUAGUGAUCCGGUGGUUCUGAAUGGAAGGGCCAUCGCUCAACGGAUAAAAGGUACUCCGGGGAUAACAGGCUGAUACCGCCCAAGAGUUCAUAUCGACGGCGGUGUUUGGCACCUCGAUGUCGGCUCAUCACAUCCUGGGGCUGAAGUAGGUCCCAAGGGUAUGGCUGUUCGCCAUUUAAAGUGGUACGCGAGCUGGGUUUAGAACGUCGUGAGACAGUUCGGUCCCUAUCUGCCGUGGGCGCUGGAGAACUGAGGGGGGCUGCUCCUAGUACGAGAGGACCGGAGUGGACGCAUCACUGGUGUUCGGGUUGUCAUGCCAAUGGCACUGCCCGGUAGCUAAAUGCGGAAGAGAUAAGUGCUGAAAGCAUCUAAGCACGAAACUUGCCCCGAGAUGAGUUCUCCCUGAGACUUAGAGUCUCCUGAAGGAACGUUGAAGACGACGACGUUGAUAGGCCGGGUGUGUAAGCGCAGCGAUGCGUUGAGCUAACCGGUACUAAUGAACCGUGAGGCUUAACCUUACA